GAUGAAGAACGCAGCGAAAUGCGAUAAGUAAUGUGAAUUGCAGAAUUCAGUGAAUCAUCGAAUCUUUGAACGCAAAUUGCGCCCCUUGGUAUUCCGAGGGGCAUGCCUGUUCGAGCGUCAUUAUAACCCCUCAAGCUCAGCUUGGUGUUGGGGCCUGCUGCACUGGCAGCCCUUAAAAUCAGUGGCGGCGCCAUCUGGCUCUAAGCGUAGUAAUUCUUCUCGCUAUGGAGUCCUGGUGGAUGCUUGCCAUCAACCCCCAAUUUUUCUAUGGUUGACCUCGGAUCAGGUAGGGAUACCCGCUGAACUUAAGCAUAUCAAUAAGCGGAGGA
rnacentral:misc_RNA from 1 species